GACUAGCGGUCACAGACGUGAGUGAAGGAAACACGGAAGUUUAUUUUGGAACAAAGUUAAUACGUAGUUUUUGUUAUUUCAAUUUUUAACUACGAGUGAAACAGUGUGCGAACAUCUUGUGAUGCUGUGCUGUUUGAAACACUAUAGUAUUGGUUGAAAAUUAUUUACUGGGCCCAUUUGAAUGCGAUUUUGUUUUAUAUUUAAUUGUCUGUUAUUACAUCACAUUUCGCGCGUUUGGGUAUGAUUUGGGACGGCGUGUGAAUUUCAUAUGUGAUUUUUUCAUGUUACGUUUGUCAGAUCCAACCACUUGUGCUAAAGUUUUCAUAUUGCAGAUGGGAGCAAAUACUUUUUAAACAAGUAUUUAGUGUACUUAUGUACCUCUCACUUAAGUACCUGUACUGUUCACAAAUUGUGAAAAUGUUUCUCCUAUAAUUUCGCAAAGCAAAUGGCUGAGGUUGUGAUGUAUUGUGUGUAGUUAUUGGAGCUGUUUCUGUGUGCUUCGAUCUCCAGGAAAAACGGAAGUCCAAAGUCAGUGUUAAGAGUGGUGAUUGACGGGGCAAGGCGCACAGUGAAAUUGCCACAUUCACUGUGAGUAGAUCAGCAGGCAUGGACCACAGGAAACUGUUUACAUUAAAAAAGAGGAAGCAGAUGAAGUACCUACUGAGUCAGUCUCCAUGGUUGAAGUUUACCUGUCCAGUUUGAGUGUAAAAGAAGAAUUGGAGGAGGUUGUAAACCAAAAGGAUCUGUUGCAAGAUGUUAUCAAGGAGGAUUCUGAACUACAUUUGGACAUGGAUGAAACUGAGAAUAUUGUAAGCAUUCACAUCUCUGAUUUACUGUGUGUAGACUGAGGAAAAACAUCUUUGGUAAAUUGUUUAAUUUAAAAGAUGCAUCACAGUGUAAUAGGCACAGAUCGAGUUUCCUGGAACUCAGCACUAUUAAUAAUUUUCCAAUUUACUUGAGCUAUUCCACUUGCUUUAGAUUAUGAUCUUUCAUUUGCGGAUUGUUCUGAAUAGAAUCUGAACUGGACUUGUAACAAUUGUAUAAUCCUAGUUUCAGUGACCUUGAUAUCAAACAUAUUGUAUAAUGAUUGUGUGUUUGAUGCAUUAA